UUUGGUAUCGAUUCGUCCGUCUCCGCCGUCAGACCUCCGCCUGCGCCACCUCUCUACCUCCCCCUCCGCCGCCAUCCCGCAUCUGCCUGCAUCGCAGCCACCAAACCCGGUCUUCAAAGGGACGGUAGGUUACGAACUUCCUCAUUUUCCCGUCUUUGGUUCUAUUUAAGCCGGACACAAUUGUUUUCGUUCUUCUCCGGCAACGGCGCCGGCGAAAUUCGUAGUCCGUGCAGGCCUCGCAGUGGUCUCCCUCCCCAAAUCUGUAUUUUAGAGGCCCAACUGGUGCGGUGUGGUUCUUUUCCUUUCUCUUGAUCCCAGAACACCUAGAGAAAUUGACGCUUCAGUCUCCAAAGUCUGGCGGCGGCGUCAGCGGUGCGGGAGCUAGAGGAACGAAAAGGUCAAGAUGGAAAAUUCCGACUGGCUGUCGAGCUCCUGAGAACCGUCUCCUCGACACAUGCUUUGCCUUUGCCUGAGGCUCUUUGUCGAGCAAGUAAAUCAAAAAUCCUAUUUUCACCGCUCAGUUCUCCAUCCUGUGGAGUUCAUUACAAAAAUCCCAGCCUAUCAGCUUUAUUCGUAAUCAUCACAUCAAGAAAAUAUAGGGACAGCUGAUUCGUGUUGUUAGGACGUGAGAUCUUAAAACCAUGGUUUCAGUUUUAGCGAUUUUGCAGGCUUGCAGCAUGGAGGAAGCAUUGAUAUGAUGAAUUCGUUCGUGGCUCGGUUCAGGGGAAGUUAUCAGUCUGGUGAUUAGUAAUAUUUUUUGCAGUACAGAUGAAGUCGUGGUGGACGAAAGAGGUGAGAACUGAUGAGAUUUAAUUAGUUAGGGUUGGUUCAUGUUCUUGGCUACUGCAAGUUUGAUCAGCAUGAUGGAAAAAAUUGAAGCCAUACUGUAGUUGGAGACAUUAUUUUGGUUCCCGCAUUUAGAACUGGUUAUGGUUUUUGUUCAUUUGAAAUUAGUAUUCCCGUCAACCAUCUCACAUACAAAGCAUGCAAAUACACUGGUGCAUACCCGUUCCAACUAUGGAAGCAGAUCAAGUCACACUUUAAGUUGAACUGUUCAUGUCAUUUUGUAUCUGCUAUUGGUAACCAGAGGCCAUGCUUUUGAACCUUUACUGAAAAAUUUUCUAUACAAUGUCAACUCUCUUAAUGUGUCGCUAAUAAUUUACUGCCAUUUCCAGGUUUUCUAAUUAAGAUGUUUUAAUCCGCUAAAAUAGCCUACAAAAACAUCUUAUGUUUUGGGAGGGAUGUAGUAUUUCUUAUGGCAUGACACGGCUUUCGCAAAUUUAUCAGAUGUAGAGCAUAUUAUCUUACAUUAAUGGCUGGAUUCUCUUGAGGCUAUUGUAGUGUGAUCUAAUGAAAGGAGUUCCAGAUGUCUUAAAUUCAGAUGAUCUUAAUGUUUUUGCACAACUUUUGAUUGGAGAUCUAGCUGUCAUGCUCAAGGAUGGGAGCAGUGCCUUUGCAUGGCUGCCUGUAACACUCAAGUGCACUCGAAAAAAUUAGAGCCUUUACGCUAGAGAAUCUAAUAAAGCCUUUACGCUAGAGAAUCUAAGAAGCCUUUCUUCUCUGUGCAGCAAUUAUGGGGGUACACUGAGUAAUAGUAAAAUGGAUCUAGCUAGGAGCCUUCUCAAUGUUUUGACAUCCUGAUCCGUCUGAUUUGAUCAUUCAACGGCACUGAUCUUCCAGGCGUCUUACCGAGCGUAGCUGCGCACAGUUUUGCCCUACCACCGUGCCAAUCUUGCUCGGCCCAUAAUGGAGGGCGGCUGCCUCCCGAGAGCAAACCCCUUUGUCUUCUCGUGAAACAGGCCACAUCUUCCGAACCGGGUGGCUGCUUGAGGGCCUCUUAUUUCCCAGGCUACCUUUUACUCGUGUACGAUCAGCCGUUACAAUCGCCCCCACAAAACCGACCCCAAUCGGUCGAGCAACUCGGGGGUAGCAACGGUGUUUCAGCAUGCGAAGGACCUGGUGGAGAAGGAGAUGAGCGGGAGCGACGCUGCACAUGGCGCUCCUUGUCCGCAACCACGCGCUCUCUCUUGCCCUCGCAGUUGACCAGGGCCUGGCCUUUCCUCCAUCGCCCGCCUCAUGGUAACUACUCUCAUCUAUUAUUCUUUUCUCUUAUGGUUCUUCCACAUGCUACGAGAAAUCACAUCUCCAUAAUUUUCGGUUUUCAUCCGAGGGGGAUGAUUCCUGCAGUUAGAAUUGGGCGCUUUUCUGCAUGAAAUCCGACAUGGGUAUGUCUAAUGCUUUGUUUUGAUUUUUUUGGAUGUGAUACUAUUCAGGAACCGGAAAGAAUGGAGUGCAAAUAAUUGGUGUACUAACAAUCCAACAUGACAUUUAGUAUUUAUGUUGGAAGAUUCAUUUAGUUUUGAUGUCAGGGUCUGCCUUCUGUAGUUGGUCAUUGCGGACUCGGUUGUGCGGGCUUCCAGCUGCACAGCUGUUCUCUGCCUUGCCUCGGAAGGCCACCAGGCACCGCGCAGCGGCCGCUAUGUUUUUGUACGAUUAAUUGCAAAGAAGAAUCAUGAAGGCAGAUGGGGGUGAUAUUGCCGCUCUGCUCCGUUGAGAUCAUGGUGAGAAUGAUCGUACUACACUGUCCUAUGUAUGCUUUUUCUUUGAGAAAAUGGUGAGCAUUUGCUUCAACUUUUAUUUAUUUUUCCUUGCAAUACACAAUGAGAUUAUCUUGCAUUUCUUUUGUCUCAUUUGUGCUCAAUUAAUUAAGGUUUUUGGGUUACCUAGAGUGAUCACGGUCGUGGAUAAGCGACCAUAUUGUACACUUGUGUCAAGACCUUAUGUCCCAGUUUUCCAAGAUUUGGAACUACAAAAUUUACAAUGUUUAUUGAAAAUGAGUGACUAGAACACAUCUCUCUAUUAUUCCGGUUUUGUUGUGUGAUAGCAACCUAUGUAAUUUGGACUCUGUGAAGGGUAUGCAGCUCAUUAUUGCUAAGGUUGAAGUUGGAGACAAAUGAAGUUACGAUUCAGCUAUAUAUAGAUUGUACCAUGGUGUCAUGGCGGCAGAACGAUCAUUUUUCUAGAAGAUCAUUUAAAUGGAUUGCGAGCUAACACAUUUAUUUCAUAAACACAAAAUCUUCCAGCAUGUCAAAGGUAUUUGAUACGUCUCAAACGUAUCUAUAAUUUCUUAUGUUCCAUGCUACUUUUAUGAUGAUACUCACAUGUUUUAUACACACUUUAUGUCAUUAUUAUGCAUUUUCCGGCACUAACCUAUUGACAAGAUGCUGAAGAGCCAGUUGUUGUUUUCUGCUGUUUUUGGUUUCAGAAAUCCUACAAAGGAAAUAUUCUCGGAAUUGGACGAAAUCAACGCCCAGUGUCUUAUUUUUCCACGAAGCUUCUAGAAGACCGAAGAGCAUACGAAGUGGGGCCACGAGGUGGCCAGACCAUAGGGUGGCGCGGCCUGCCUUGGGCCCGCGCCGGCCUAUGGUGUGGGCCCCUCGCGCCGCCUCCAACCCUACCCUUCCGCCUACUUAAAGCCUUCGUCGCGAAAACCCCUGUACCGAGAGCCAUGAUACGGAAAACCUUUCAGAGACGCCGCCGCCGCCAAUCCAUCUCGGAGGAUUCAGGAGAUCGCCGCCGGCACCCUGCCGGAGAGGGGAAUCAUCUCCCGGAGGACUCUUCAUCGCCAUGAUCGCCUCCGGAUCGAUGUGUAAGUAGUUCACCCCUGGACUAUGGGUCCAUAGCAGUAGCUAGAUGGUUGUAUUCUCCUCAUGUGCUAUCAUUGUAGAUCUUGUGAGCUGCUGCUGGCGUGUAGUUGACGUGGGAGUUAGAAAUCUAUGUGGUGUAACUUUUCUUCAGGUCCCCGGCAACGGCGCCAGAAAAAGAGCUGCUGACGUGGGAGUUGGAUUGCAACGGCCCCAGAAAGUAGCUUCCUUGUGA